rnacentral:tRNA from 1 species
GGCCUCGCAACUCAACUGGUAGAGCGUGCGCUGUACAAAAGCAUAGACGGCGACCAUGCGUGGGUUCGAAUCCCAUCGAGGCUA